rnacentral:rRNA from 1 species
GACGAACGCUGGCGGCGUGCCUAAUACAUGCAAGUCGAGCGGACGAUUCGAAAGCUUGCUUUUGAAUCGUUAGCGGCGGACGGGUGAGUAACACGUGGGCAACCUGCCCUGUAGACGGGGAUAACACCGAGAAAUCGGUGCUAAUACCGGAUAACACGAAAUGUCGCAUGACGUUUCGUUGAAAGGCGGCGCAAGCUGCCGCUACAGGAUGGGCCCGCGGCGCAUUAGCUAGUUGGUGAGGUAACGGCUCACCAAGGCGACGAUGCGUAGCCGACCUGAGAGGGUGAUCGGCCACACCGGGACUGAGACACGGCCCAGACUCCUACGGGAGGCAGCAGUAGGGAAUCUUCCGCAAUGGACGAAAGUCUGACGGAGCAACGCCGCGUGAGCGAAGAAGGCCUUCGGGUCGUAAAGCUCUGUUGUUAGGGAAGAACAAGUAACGUAGUAACUGACGUUACUAUGACGGUACCUAACGAGAAAGCCACGGCUAACUACGUG